rnacentral:rRNA from 1 species
GAUGAACGCUGGCGGCGUGCCUAAUACAUGCAAGUCGAGCGAACAGACGAGGAGCUUGCUCCUCUGACGUUAGCGGCGGACGGGAGGGUAACACGUGGUUAACCUACCUUUAGGAAUGGGAUACUUUUGGGAAACCGGAGUAAUAACUGGCUAAUAUAUUUAACGAAAGGGUUCAUUAGUGAAAGAGGGUUUUGCUGCCACUUAUCUAGGGGUCCGCGCCGCAUUUGCUAGUUGGUAAGGUAACGGCUUACCAAGGCAACGUUGCGUAGCCGACCUGAGAGGGUGAGCGGCCACACUGGGACUGAGACACGGUCCAGACUCCUACGGGAGGCAGCAGUAGGGAAUCGUCCGCAAUGGGCGAAAGCCUGACGGAGCAACGCCGCGUGAGUGAUGAAGGUCUUCGGAUCGUAAAACUCUGUUAUUAGGAAAGAACAAAUGUGUAAGUAACUAUGCACGUCUUGACGGUACCUAAUCAGAAAGCCACGGCUAACUACGUG